rnacentral:rRNA from 1 species
AGAGUUUGAUCACGGCUCAGGAUGAACGCUAGCUACAGGCUUAACACAUGCAAGUCGAGGGGAAACGACAUCGAAAGCUUGCUUUUGAGGGCGUCGACCGGCGCACGGGUGAGUAACGCGUAUCCAACCUGCCCACCACUUGGGGAUAACCUUGCGAAAGUAAGACUAAUACCCAAUGACGUCUCUAGAAGACAUCUGAAAGAGAUUAAAGAUUUAUCGGUGAUGGAUGGGGAUGCGUCUGAUUAGCUUGUUGGCGGGGUAACGCCGCAAGGCUACGAUCAGUAGGGGUUCUGAGAGGAAGGUCCCCCANAUUGGAACUGAGACACGGUCCAAACUCCUACGGGAGGCA